rnacentral:rRNA from 1 species
AGUCGAGCGGGCACCUUCGGGUGUCAGCGGCAGACGGGUGAGUAACACGUGGGAACGUACCCUUCGGUUCGGAAUAACGCUGGGAAACUAGCGCUAAUACCGGAUACGCCCUUAUGGGGAAAGGUUUACUGCCGAAGGAUCGGCCCGCGUCUGAUUAGCUAGUUGGUGGGGUAAUGGCCUACCAAGGCGACGAUCAGUAGCUGGUCUGAGAGGAUGAUCAGCCACACUGGGACUGAGACACGGCCCAGACUCCUACGGGAGGCAGCAGUGGGGAAUAUUGGACAAUGGGCGCAAGCCUGAUCCAGCCAUGCCGCGUGAGUGAUGAAGGCCUUAGGGUUGUAAAGCUCUUUUGUCC